AUUGAACGCUGGCGGCAGGCCUAACACAUGCAAGUCGAACGAGUGGCGGACGGGUGAGUAAUGUCUGGGAAACUGCCCGAUGGAGGGGGAUAACUACUGGAAACGGUAGCUAAUACCGCAUACCAUCGGAUGUGCCCAGAUGGGAUUAGCUAGUAGGUGUGGUAACGGCUCACCUAGGCGACGAUCCCUAGCUGGUCUGACAGGAUGACCAGCAACAGGGGAAAGGAGAAACGGUCCAGACACCGACGGGAGGAAGCAGUGAGGAAUAUGGCACAAUGGGCGAAAGCCUGAGGCAGACAUGCAGAGUGUAUGAAGAAGGCCUUCGGGUUGUAAAGUACUUUCAGCGAGGAGGCGUUACUCGCAGAAGAAGCACCGGCUAACUCCGAGCCAGCAGCCGCGGUAAUAC
rnacentral:rRNA from 1 species